rnacentral:rRNA from 1 species
UGGGGAAUAUUGCACAAUGGGGGAAACCCUGAUGCAGCGACGCCGCGUGAGCGAAGAAGGUUUUCGAAUCGUAAAGCUCUGUCCUAUGAGAAGAUAAUGACGGUAUCAUAGGAGGAAGCCCCGGCUAAAUACGUGCCAGCAGCCGCGGUAAUACGUAUGGGGCGAGCGUUGUCCGGAAUUAUUGGGCGUAAAGGGUACGUAGGCGGUCUAUUAAGUCAGGUGUUAAAGCGUGAGGCUUAACCUCAUUAAGCACUUGAAACUGAUAGACUUGAGUGAAGGAGAGGAAAGUGGAAUUCCGAGUGUAGCGGUGAAAUGCGUAGAUAUUAGGAGGAAUACCGGUAGCGAAGGCGACUUUCUGGACUUUUACUGACGCUCAGGUACGAAAGCGUGGGGAGCAAACAGG